GAUGAACGCUAGCGGCAGGCUUAACACAUGUAAGUCGAGGGGUAUAGGUUUUCGGACCUAGAGACCGGCGCACGGGUGCGUAACGCGUAUGCAAUCUACCUUUCACAGAGGGAUAGCCCAGAGAAAUUUGGAUUAAUACCUCAUAGUAUAGCAGUUUCGCAUGAAACCACUAUUAAAGUUCCAACGGUGAAAGAUGAGCAUGCGUCCCAUUAGCUAGAUGGUAAGGUAACGGCUUACCAUGGCAACGAUGGGUAGGGGUCCUGAGAGGGAGAUCCCCCACACUGGUACGGAGACACGGACCAGAAUCCUACGAGAAGCAGCAGUGAGGAAUAGUGGUCAAUGGACGCAAGUCUAAACCAGCCAUGCCGCGUGCAGGAUGACGGUCCUAUGGAUUGUAAACUGCUUUUGUACGAGAAGAAACACUCCUUCGUGAAGGAGCUUGACGGUAUCGUAAGAAUAAGGAUCGGCUAACUCCGUGCCAGCCGCCGCCGUAACAC
rnacentral:rRNA from 1 species